rnacentral:rRNA from 1 species
AUACGGAGGGUGCAAGCGUUACUCGGAAUCACUGGGCGUAAAGCGCGCGCAGGCGGUCUUUUAAGUUGGAUGUGAAAGCCUACGGCUCAACCGUAGAACUGCAUCCAAAACUAUUAGACUAGAGUGUGGGAGAGGAAGAUGGAAUUAGUUGUGUAGGGGUAAAAUCCGUAGAGAUAACUAGGAAUACUAAAAGCGAAGGCAAUCUUCUGGAACACUACUGACGCUGAGGCGCGAAAGCGUGGGGAGCAAACAGGAUUAGAAACCCUAGUAGUCC